AUCGCUUGAACCCAAGAGGCAGAGUUUGCAGUGAGCCGGGAACAGGCCAUUGUACUCUCGCGCUCCAGCCUGGGUGACAGAGCAAGACUCCAUCUCAAAAACAUUUUUUUUUUUUUUUUGUAGAGAUGGGGUCUCACUUUGUCGCCCAGGCUGGUCUUGAACUCCUGGACUUAAGCGAUCCUCUUCCCUUAUCUUCCCAAAGUGUUAGGAUUACAGGCAUGAACCACUGUGCCUGGCCUAAAAUGGCAAAUUUUAUGAUAAGUAUAUUUUGCCAUGAUAAAAGAAACCUACACUUUAGAAGCUGAAUUCUGGUGGUGAUAUUGAAGACAGAUUGAAGAAGGUCAAGACCGGAGUCCGGGAGGCCUGCUUGGACAUGAUGUCUUAGCUAGCAAGAGAUUCUCAGGAGGGCCUGCACCAGCACCAGGGCAGAGUUUUGGAAACAGAAGGGUGAUGACAGAGCUAUUUUAGAUAUACAGUCAAGAAGAAUAAGACACUCACUGACCAUUGAGGUGGGGAGGAGUCAUGGAUUUCUAAUAUUUCCAAGUCACAUGACAGAAAGAAUAUGGGAAAGGGAACACAAAAGAAAAUUUGAUAGAAAUAAGUAUAAUUUACAAAAUGAAAAAUACAAAAGCAGUUUUAAUUAAAGGAUUGUGAAGCAAUCAUUGCCUCUUUAUCUAGGUGCAGUGCAGUCAACUCUGUUCUGUAUUAUUUGCAGGACCAAAGUUCAUUAGUGGGGCUAAGAGCAAAGUUCCAGAUUCAGAUUGUACUUUGCCAUGCUUUAUUCUUUUUUUUUGGAGACAGGGUCUUGCUCUUUCUCCCAGGCUGUAGUGCAGUGGUGCAAUCUCAGCUCAUUGCAACCUCCGCCUCCCUGGUUCAAGCAAUUCUUGUGCCUCAGCCUCCCGAGUAGCUGCGAUUACAGGUACCCACCACCAUGCCUGUCAAAUUUUUGUAUUUUGAGUAGAGAUGGGGUUUCAUCAUGUUGCCCAGGCUGGCCUCGAACUCCUGACCUCAGGUGAUCCACCCGCCUCGGCGUCCCAAACGGGAGUAUAGGCCUGAGCCACCACGCCUGGCCGUAGUCUUUCUAUCCCUAAAUUUUCUUGACAUCAAGGUACAAGAGAUAAGUCUAUCAGAUGAGGUUAAAGUCUGUUUUAAGUUAUGAAAUGUAUUAUACAUACACAAAAAUAUAUAAACAUAUUGUACAAUUUAUUGAAUAAGAUGAACUGUGAAUUGCCAUCUAAAGUACAUCUUUCUUGUUUUGUUUGUUUUUUGUUUGCUUGAGACAGAGUCUCAUUCUGUCGCCCAGGCUGUAGUACAGUGGCGCAAUCUUGGCUCACUGCAACCUCUGCCUUCCAGGUUCAAGCAAUUCUUAUGCCUCAGCCUUCUGAGUAGCUGGGGUUACAGGUGUGCACCACUGUGCCAGGCUAAUUUUUUAUUUUUUGUAGAGAGGGGGCUUUACCAUAUUGGCCAGUCUGGUCUCAAGCUCCUGGCCUGCCCCCCUUGGCUUCCCAAGUGCCAAGAUUACAGUGUUAACUCCAACAUACUAAUUUCUGGUGACAGAAGUCCUCAUCUGCACAUAUCUUCUCAAUUAAACUGGCGAUGAGCCCUUCCGGUACAAAAACGAAGUGGACCAGGCCUCCGGCCAUGGAGCCUCUCCUAGCUCUUCAUCCCACUCGAACACUUUCCCCUCUCCCAACUGUCCCAGUUGUAACUCAAAGGGUGGCAUAUCAAGGUCUUUAAAUAUAUAUAUGAAUUUCUAAACGAUAUGCUAUUAAUGUGUAAAGAACUGAAAAACAAGCACAAAAUUAGCUGUGUAAAAAAAAAGACUACUGCCACUGUUAGAAAAAGACUCAGUCAUUGCUAUAGACUGAAUGUUUUUGUGCCCCAAAUUUCAUAUGUUGCAACCCUGACUCCAAAGCUGCUGGUAUUUGGAGAUGGGGCCUUGGGAGAUCAUUAGGUCAUAAGGGUGGGGCCCUUGUGAUGGGAUGAGUGAUCUUAUAAGAAAUGUGAGGGUUUUUCCUCUCUCUGUUCUCUGCCAUGUGAGGAUACAAUGAGAAGACCAUGCACAAACCAGGAAGUAGCCCUCACCAGACACCAGAUCUGCUGUUUGCUCUUGGACUUUCCAGCCUCCAGAACUGUGAGCCACUCAGUACAUGGAGUUUUGUGACAGCAGCUUGAGCACACUAAGACAGUCAUAGUCUGGGUAACUGCCUGGAUUCAGCUUUCCUCAGAGCUCAUAAAUGCCCCUUCUGGAGAAUUCAGUGGGCAAAGCUGUGAGUGAGUCCUGGGAAACAAAGACUUCCCCUUCUGGAGCAUCUGUAGGUUCCCCUUCUGAAGCAUCUUCAGGUUCCCCUUCUGGAGCAUCUGCAGGGCUGAGCAUGGGGAAGGGAUUGGUCAG
rnacentral:lncRNA from 1 species